GACGAACGCUGGCGGCGUGCCUAAUACAUGCAAGUGGGACGCAAGGGAACACACUGUGCUUGCACACCGUGUUUUCUUGAGUCGCGAACGGGUGAGUAACGCGUAGGUAACCUGCCUAUUAGCGGGGGAUAACUAUUGGAAACGAUAGCUAAUACCGCAUAAUAUUAAUUAUUGCAUGAUAAUUGAUUGAAAGAUGCAAGCGCAUCACUAGUAGAUGGACCUGCGUUGUAUUAGCUAGUUGGUAAGGUAAGAGCUUAUCAAGGCGACGAUACAUAGCCGACCUGAGAGGGUGAUCGGCCACACUGGGACUGAGACACGGCCCAGACUCCUACGGGAGGCAGCAGUAGGGAAUCUUCGGCAAUGGACGAAAGUCUGACCCGAGCAACGCCCGCGUGAGUGAAAGAAAGGUUUUCGGAUCGUAAAAGCUUCUGUUGUAAAGUCAAAGAA
rnacentral:rRNA from 1 species